CGUGUAGGCGGUUUUAUAAGUCUGAUGUGAAAGCCCCGGGCUCAACCUGGGAAGUGCAUUGGAUACUGUAAGACUUGAAUACGGGAGAGGGUAGUGGAAUUCCUGGUGUAGGAGUGAAAUCCGUAGAUAUCAGGAGGAACACCGGUGGCGAAGGCGGCUGCCUGGACCGAUAUUGACGCUGAGACGCGAAAGCGUGGGUAGCAAACA
rnacentral:rRNA from 1 species